rnacentral:lncRNA from 1 species
UUCGCGUUCCAACCGUCCCCUCCGCCGACGAGCGGCCUCGCCCUCGCCCACCAUGGCGUGCUAGGUUACGGCUCCUCUUCCCUUCUCCUGGACCACCACCACCACCCAACAACCACCACCACCUCCUCGGCGGCCUCUUCCUCGCACGCGGCUUCGUCCAUCACCCUCCACCACCACCUCCAUGGCCAUGCAGCAGCAGCAGCGCCGCACGCUUCCCUUUCCCCUCCCACGAGGGCGUCGCCUCCUCCUCACCCAUGGUAAGCUCGGCUCGCUAGCUCAUCAUCAGAUCUCUUUU